rnacentral:misc_RNA from 1 species
UGCCCCCUCUUCUCUUCUGUUUCUUCCCUGGUUUUGAAGUUGGAUUCUCUCUUAUUGUCCUUGAACUUGGGUCCCCCAGGAUCAGGAAGCCCAUCAAUGGCAGCUACAAGCCUCUUGGCACUGCUAAACACUGCUUCAUUGUACUUCUCUUCUGUAGCCAAUACAGGAAGGUUUUCUGAGACUGUGGAAUCAAGAACACUUUCUCCCACUGCUUGGACAAAUCCAGGGCCCCCUGUUACUGCUCCUUCCUUU